AUACGGAGGGUGCAAGCGUUACUCGGAAUCACUGGGCGUAAAGCGCGCGCAGGCGGCUUGAUAAAUUGGAUGUGAAAGCCUACGGCUCAACCGUAGAACUGCAUCCAAAACUGUCAAGCUAGAGUCUGGGAGGGGAAGAUGGAAUUAGUUGUGUAGGGGUAAAAUCCGUAGAGAUAACUAGGAAUACCAAAAGCGAAGGCGAUCUUCUGGAACGGUACUGACGCUGAGGCGCGAAAGCGUGGGGAGCAAACAGGAUUAGAAACCCCAGUAGUCC
rnacentral:rRNA from 1 species